GCGUACCAUUAGCUAGUUGGCAGGGUAAUGGCCUACCAAGGCGACGAUGGUUAGCUGGUCUGAGAGGAUGAUCAGCCACACUGGAACUGACACACGGUCCAGACUCCUACGGGAGGCAGCAGUGAGGAAUUUUGCGCAAUGGGGGCAACCCUGACGCAGCAACGCCGCGUGAGUGAUGAAGGCCUUUGGGUCGUAAAACUCUGUCAGCAGGAAAGAAGUUAUAUGUGGUUAAUACCCAUGUAUAUUGACGGUACCUGCAAAGGAAGCACCGGCUAACUCCGUGCCAGCAGCCGCGGUAACACGGAGGGUGCAAGCGUUAUUCGGAAUUAUUGGGCGUAAAGGGCGCGUAGGCGGCCGAUCAGGUCAGGUGUGAAAGCCCGGGGCUUAACCCCGGAAGUGCAUUUGAAACCGGUUGGCUUGAGUAUGGGAGAGGAGAGCGGAAUUCCUGGUGUAGAGGUGAAAUUCGUAGAUAUCAGGAGGAACACCGGUGGCGAAGGCGGCUCUCUGGACCAAUACUGACGCUGAGGCGCGAAGGCGUGGGUAGCAAACAGGAUUAGAUACCCUGGUAGUCCACGCAGUAAACGUUGUUCACUAGGUGUAGUGGGUAUUGACCCCUACUGUGCCGCAGCUAACGCAUUAA
rnacentral:rRNA from 1 species